AAAAUCCAAACCACCUUUUCAAACCUCUACCAUUGAUGAUUCAAAAUUCAAACCACUUGCAAACUACUACCACUGAUGAUUCAAAAUUAUGGUUCCAGAUUCAAAAUUCAAAAUUAUGGCUAUAGAUAUAUAAGAUACCAUCUUCUUCAAUCAAUUACUCUCUCUAAUCCAUUUCUCUCUCAACUCUCUCUUUCUCUAAAUGCAGGUUUCGAUCACUCUCUCUCAUAAUCUCUUACAUUUUUUUGUGAUUUCAUAUGCUUCAACGAAGAAGAAGAUAAGAAAACUCCAACAGACACUACAAUCUUCUUCUGCUAAUCUCCGACCAUUUCUUUUGGAUCGUCGGAUAAUGGCUCGGGCGAUUCCUGAGGCCGAAGACAACAACGACAAGAGGCACUCCGGCGGCGCGAUUAGGGUUUCGUUGUGAACCCUAACAACAGUGGCAGCGGCACAUUUUAUUUUUGAAGAUUUGAUAUUUUUCCAAAGUUUGUGUUCUUCUAAUCCAUCUAUUGCUCUAAUUAAUUAAGCCAUGAUAUUGAUGUUUUUUGGGGGGAUUUUGUUUUCCUUUGUUCUUGAUUGGAAGCGUGUCUGGAGUGGAAUAGUGGGUUUCUUCAACAUUCAACACCACCAAAGUUGUCAAGGUAAAGACCCAGAUUACAUAUAACAUUGGACUUAAAUGUGUGUGUGUGUGUAUGUGCGUGUUUUAGGUGGUGUGCGGUCCAUUUGCGUGUUUGCUGAUGAGAUCGGAAGCAGUUCGGUUUCAUCGUGACUGGUUGAAAAGGCAGAGAUGUCGGAGUUCAUGAUUUCCGUUACAUAGCCACCCGAAGACCAAAAAAACACAAGAAUUCUGAUAAUGAGGAACAAAAGUCCAGUGCAUCUUCAACCGCAGGCUUGCAUAAUAAACAUAAGGAUCAAAAUCGAAAUGGAAUGUUGUGAGGCUGCUACAUUUGGUUUUGUGUUUUCUACUAUUGAUGUAGUUUACUCAUCAUUCUGUUACACUUUAUGAAGGAUAAUAUAUCAAGAACUUUUUUUAUAGGAUUGUUUUAUUGAAGGGAACUACAGGUUGCUUGACGUGUUGGUGCCCGUGUAUCACGUUUGGACGAAUUGGUGAGAUCAUCGACAAGGGAACUACUUUACUUACCCAACAUGGUGUAUGCAUAUGUCUAAACAGAUUGAUGUUACUCUGCAGUGCUUACCCAACAUGGUGUAAGCAUAUGUCUAAAGAGGUUGAUGUUACUCUGGAUGGGGAACAAACGAAUGUUUGAUAAUUGAGAUUUUGUCUCAUCUAAAUGUGGAACAGCGAAAGCUUAUUCGAUAAACUUAUGUUGAAAGUUACAAUGGAGAUCUCCUUAAAGCACUUGACAGGGAACUUACAAGUGAUUUUGAGAUUGCAGGAUUAUAUAGCAACAAGAUGGUACUAGCUCUAUACGGUUCCGAACUAGUACCGAAUUUCUCGGACCAAAAUAUUUUCGGUAUCGAUUCGGUACCGACAUUUGGGUUUUCGGUACCGGUUUUUACAUUCAAAUACUGGUCCGUAUCGGUAAGAAACCGUACCAUACCAGAUGUGAGUGUGUGAAAAACCUGGUACCUGAUCAAGAAUUGUUAAAAAGGAUAUGUUCAGAUGGAUAUAUAAAAUACUUGCAGCAUAUAGGAAGUCUUCAAAGCAAUGGUCAGGUGUCAGAGAAAGAUCCAACCGGAGGCAUGAUAUUCUUGAACAGAUGGAUAAGAUAUUGUUGUUAUUUGUUGAGAUGCAGGGUUAUUUGUUGCAUGAUGUGGCAGUUUCCUUAGGAAACCUCUUUUUUUUAAACCAUUAUUUUUAAAACCUCUGCUAUCCCCUGCUGAAAGCUUUGCAACGAAGGACACUUAAUCAGCGGAUGUAGCUCGAAUCUGAAUUCGGAUGAAUGAACGUAUGAGUCUGCGAAUGGAGAGAACUCGACGAUUGAUCUUAUUUCAGCGGAUGAAAUUCAGCGAAUGAACAAGAAUUUGCAAUGAAUGGAUUCUGCGUAUUGACAUUUGUUACUGCAGCGAAUAUAUCCCGAUUUCAGCGAGGAAUGUUUUCAGCGAAUGAUCCUGUAACGAAUGACUUAAACUCAAGUCUGCGGAUUCAGACGAAUGCACUAAACAAUACUUUGAGUACAGCAAAUGAACCGAAUUUUGCGAAUGGCCAGACUUGAAUUCUGUUGAUUAACACACUUAAUUCUGUAAUUUAGAUUCUGUGACUUAACAACUGCGGACACAGUUUUGUGAAAGAAUAAUUCUUGGUGAUUAGUAUUAUAUGAUUUUCAUGUAGGAACUAUGAAAGCAAAUAUGAUUUUGUAUGA